rnacentral:rRNA from 1 species
AUACGGAGGGGGCUAGCGUUGUUCGGAAUUACUGGGCGUAGAGCGCACGUAGGCGGACUGGUCAGUUGGGGGUGAAAGCCCAAGGCUCAACCUUGGAACUGCCCUCAAUACUGCCAGUCUUGAGUCCGGGAGAGGUGAGUGGAAUUCCUAGUGUAGAGGUGAAAUUCGUAGAUAUUAGGAAGAACACCAGUGGCGAAGGCGGCUCACUGGCCCGGUACUGACGCUGAGGUGCGAAAGCGUGGGGAGCAAACAGGAUUAGAUACCCCGGUAGUCC